rnacentral:snRNA from 1 species
UUUUCCUUACAAUUCAACAUUUU